rnacentral:rRNA from 1 species
CCAGCAGCCGCGGUAAUUCCAGCUCCAAUAGCGUAUAUUAAAGUUGUUGCAGUUAAAAAGCUCGUAGUUGAACCUUGGGCAAGGUGCAUCCGGUCGACCGAAAGGCCAGACUGGGUCGCCGAGCCUCUUUAGGGGGACUUGGGGCUUCGGCUUCAAGGCAACCCGUGUUACUGUGAAGAAAUUAGAGUGUUUAAAGCAGGCUAUCGCUUGAAUACAUCAGCAUGGAAUAACAAGAUAAGACACAUGUCUUCUUGUUGGUUAGGAGGCGUAUGUAAUGAUUAAUAGGGCCAGUUGGGGGCAUUAGUAUUCAGUAGUCAGAGGUGAAAUUCUUGGAUUUACUGAAG